UACGAAGGGGGCUAGCGUUGCUCGGAAUUACUGGGCGUAAAGCGCACGUAGGCGGAUCCUUAAGUCGGUGGUGAAAUCCUGAAGCUCAACUUCAGAACUGCCUUCGAUACUGGGGACCUUGAGUUCGGGAGAGGUGAGUGGAACUGCGAGUGUAGAGGUGAAAUUCGUAGAUAUUCGCAAGAACACCAGUGGCGAAGGCGGCGCACUGGCCCGAUACUGACGCUGAGGUGCGAAAGCGUGGGGAGCAAACAGG
rnacentral:rRNA from 1 species